AAUAGAAACAAACACAUGCCUACCUAAAACUAUCAUUUACUGGUACAAACGUAAAGAGUAAAAUAAGGUAUCCUAAUUAUAUCGAGACAGAAUCCUACUAAUACGUCAAUGAUUUCAAAUUUCCUGCAUCUCAAAUAAUACAUACAAAUGUGCAGCGACUCCUAACUUUAGUUAUGGGCACGCAGUUGAGGAUUUUAUAACUUUGAUACUGACACCGUAAAUACAAUAUUUUUGGUUCUAUUAAGUGCCGGUUAAUUCUGCCGGUUAAUUCGUUUAGGAAAACAUUAAUUUUUUGUCUAGGAAACAAGUUACAUAAUCAUAAGUUAGCUGAAGCUAGACACCACAUGAGAAUUGGUGACAACCUAGAGAAUAUUAGGGUAAAGCUUAUAUUACUUCCAUCAACUUCAAUUCAAAUGGUUAAUUUAAGCAAUUCGAUGAGCGGCACAAAUAACCAUUGCAAUCAAAAAAAAACUUGUGACCAAAACUCGUAAAGCGUUCUGCCCUUAUCAGUUGACAUCUAACGAAAGUCACCCAGAGGGUCUAUAGCAGAAAAGGCCAAUAUACCUUAAACUUUGCAUUUUCAUGGCAAAGUACUUCUAUUAUACGUUGCGUAUCUGCAUAUAGCCGUUUUCGCUUGAUAAGAAUUUUCGCAAAAGCAAAAUGUCCGAUUUUGAAGGCGCAACGAAAAAUGUGUCUACGUCGAUGAGCCAAUUGAUCCGAUCACUUCAUACCUUCAGUGUUUAACAACACGAAAUGGUCAGUCGACGCUCAGUGUUACAAUGCAUCAAUCUAUGUAUAAUCGCAUCGAAGAAACGAAGUGACGUCAGGAAACGCUUGAAAUAAUGACGCGAGCUGCAAGAGCAUCUCAGAUCAUUUUUGAUGGACGUACGGGCGUCGACCUAUAAACCACACCGAAAGGCAGAAAGCAUAAUCGAUAACCGACUUUAUCCUGCCACAGAGAGAUGCCUAAACAAGACUGUACUUUAAACUUAUGACAAGUCUAACUUAUGACACGAGGCUGACGAGGCACUUCCGUAAAGUGGUAACAUCAUAGCACGCUAACCGAAAUUUUCAGAGAAUGCUACGGCAAUCGUUACUUCUACAGUUUCUGCCACGAAUAGCGCGCUCAUCGCUCCUUUAUGCAGAGUGGCGUGCUAAUUCCAUGGCAUCAUCAGUCAGCCUCCACCUUCUUGCCGCUCCCUUAAUCAAAGUUGUGGUUCUGGAAUGGUUUGCGCCUCUCUGCCAGGAAAGCACUGAGCGUCAAGGAUUAGCGGGAAAGCUUACACAACGGAGAUAGACGAAACACACUUGAAGAAGUUUUACUGCAACGUGGAUCUUACGAUGUACCUGACGUUGCUAUAUCUUUAAUAUAGUAAUGAAUCUGCCCUAGAAGAAAGGACCAACGCUAUGGCCGUGCUUGUCUUAGAGGAUGGUUCCGUAGGUCUUUCUGGUACUGGACAAAAUUUCGCAUCCUUGCCUGUUUUUGAGGAGGUACUCCAACUGUUUACGAAUUUAGCAAAAAAUAACCACGGUACAGCGCUCAAGUCGCUAGGAUUUCGUCGAAGCGAGGAGUGGGCAUACGUCAGAAGUUUCUCGAGAUUACCUAGAGACACGCACAUGAUACAGACGGUACACGUUUAAAGGAGUUAAGACGGCUAACGUCAGUUAUGAACAUCUCUUUAAUCUUUACGCAUGGAACCUAGAGUGCGUACAUAGCAGAGCGUUUUUCAACCGUUACCUACCCAAAGAU
rnacentral:lncRNA from 1 species